CGGCAUUAACAACGUUAAUUUUUUUUUGGUAAGUUAACUUGAUUUGCAUGAUUAGUUUGAUUAUAUAUUUUUUGCGUGGUUAAUAUAUUACAUUUUAUGGCAUGUUAGCAAAUGUGAUAUUGUAUAUAUAUUGUUCUAUUUUUAUAAUAUCUGAAUAUAUAUAGUGACCGAAAUAUGUUAUAUUUAACUUAUUUGGUUUAUUCAUCUAAUUGGUUUGUUUUGAUUUUAUAUCAGAUUUUCAUUUUGAACAUGACAUGUAUACAAUGUGUACAUAUAUAUAAUCAGGUAAUUAAGUUUCCUGAGAAUCUAAAAUAAUCAAUAAUAUAUAUACAGGGAAAUGAUGAGUAUAAGUAGAAGUAAUAAUCAUAA
rnacentral:lncRNA from 1 species